rnacentral:rRNA from 1 species
GACGAAGGGGGCUAGCGUUGUUCGGAAUUACUGGGCGUAAAGCGCGUGUAGGCGGCUAUCCAAGUCAGGUGUGAAAGCCUUGAGCUCAACUCAAGAAAUGCACUCGGUACUGGGUGACUAGAGGACCGGAGAGGAUAGUGGAAUUCCCAGUGUAGUGGUGAAAUACGUAGAGAUUGGGAAGAACACCAGUGGCGAAGGCGGCUAUCUGGACGGUUUCUGACGCUAAGACGCGAAAGCGUGGGGAGCAAACAGG